UACGGGGGGGGCAAGCGUUGUUCGGAAUUACUGGGCGUAAAGGGCUCGUAGGCGGCCAACUAAGUCAGAUGUGAAAUCCCUCGGCUUAACCGGGGAACUGCGUCUGAUACUGGAUGGCUUGAGUUUGGGAGAGGGAUGCGGAAUUCCAGGUGUAGCGGUGAAAUGCGCAGAUAUCAGGAGGAACACCUACGGCGAAGGCAGCUCGCUGGGACGGUACUGACGCUGAGACGCGAAAGCGUGGGGAGCAAACAGG
rnacentral:rRNA from 1 species